GCCUUUAGAAUAUAUUUUUUUCAAUAGUUAUCCGACCCAUGUUUAAUUUGACACAGAUUCUUCUUUUUAUUAUAUAUUUUUUCUACUGAACAAAAAAAAAAUCAACCAGAGGACAUCAGUAGACUACUCCGACUCAGUGGUUCCGAUCAUGGCCGACGAGGCAAGAGAAACCCUUCUGGAGGAGAAAGAAGACAAUAACUGCCCAGGCUGUAACAUCGACCGACUCAAGCAAGAACAGCGAGGAAUCCCUUACAUCCACCUCUCCUUCAUCUGGCUCGUCUCUCUCUGCACCGCUCUCCCGAUAUCUUCCCUGUUUCCAUAUCUCUAUUUCAUGAUCAGAGACUUCCAUGUAGCUGAAAAAGAAGAGGAUAUUGGUUUCUAUGCUGGUUUUGUUGCAUCAUCUUUCAUGAUCGGAAGAGCUCUGACGUCUAUUCUCUGGGGGAAACUAGCUGAUCGAUAUGGUCGCAAACCUAUCAUCCUCAUGGCGACUUUCUCUGUGAUCAUAUUCAAUACCUUGUUUGGUUUAAGCACAAGCUUCUGGUUUGCUAUUUCAGUUAGAUUUCUUCUCGGCUGCGUCAAUUGUCUGCUCGGAGUAAUAAGAGCAUAUGCUUCAGAAGUCGUUAGUGAAGAGUAUCACGCUCUUAGUCUUUCUGUUGUAAGUACAUCGAGAGGUAUAGGACUGAUAAUAGGCCCUGCUAUUGGAGGCUAUCUUGCUCAGCCUGCAGAGAAGUAUCCUAAUUUAUUUUCACAGGAUUCAGUUUUUGGAAGCUUUCCAUAUUUUCUACCGAGCUUAGUUAUAUCAGUCUAUGCUACUGGGGCUCUCAUUGCAUGCUGGUGGCUGCCUUUACAGGAAACACUUCAUACACAUUGCAGAAUUUCACGCGGGAGGCUAAAUCCAAAUGAACCUGAAUAUUCACCAAAUGAACUAAACAAUGAUGGAAGUAUAGGUAGAGGACUCGAAGACCAUAACACACAAAGCAAGCCAAGUCUCCUGAGGAACCGUCCAUUGAUGGCUAUCAUCAUUGUGUAUUGUGUUUUUUCCCUCCAGGAGAUAGCUUAUUCAGAGAUAUUUUCACUCUGGGCUGUUAGCGACAUAAGCUAUGGAGGAUUGAGCUUCUCAUCUCAAGAUGUUGGCCAAGUUUUAGCUAUAUCAGGACUUGGGCUUCUGUUGUUUCAACUUAUGGUAUACCCCCCGAUGGAGAAGAGCCUGGGACUCCUUGUGGUUAUACGUCUUUCCGCGGUGAUGCUAAUACCGCUGCUUUCUUGUUACCCGUCUAUAGCUUCACUUUCAGGGUUGACCCUUCAUUUAGUGAUAAACUGUGCAUCUAUCUUGAAAAACGCGUUGUCUAUAUCUUUGUGGUUUUUGUUGUUGCAGAUCUCUCUUGUUACAGGACUGUUUAUCUUGCUCAACAAGGCGGUGGUAUGGUUCUUGGGCCAGUGUACCACAUACCCUUUUCCGUCUUGUUUUACCACAGAGUCAGAGAGGUGCUGCUAAUGGACUUUCUAUGACCGCAAUGUCUAUUUUCAAAUCAUUUGGCCCUGCCGGUGGAGGAAUCUUAUUCUCUUGGGCGCAAAAGAGACAGACUGCGACUUUCCUUCCAGGUGAUGAGAUGGUGUUCUUUGUGCUGAAUUUGGUACAACUCAUAGGAUUAAUUCUAACUUUCAUACCGUACAUUUCUCAGAACCAAUAAAAAGGUUCAUUAUACUCUACAAAGGUGAGAAAUAAAUGGGAAGUUCAUUAUAGACUAUAAAGUGUUCAUCUUUUUUUAACAUUCCCCUCCCCCUCCCCCUCCCCAAGUGUUUAUCCAUGAUUCAAUAGCAAACGAAUGACUAAUGUUACGGUGUAUUCAUAUUUACAUAAUAUAUUUGGGUAUGUUUUUUUCUUUUGA